UGAGGAAUAUUGGCCAAUGGACGCAAGUCUGAACCAGCCAAGUAGCGUGCAGGAUGACGGCCCUAUGGGUUGUAAACUUCUUUUAUAUGGGGAUAAAGUGGGGAACGUGUUCCCUUUUGCAGGUACCAUAUGAAUAAGGACCGGCUAAUUCCGUGCCAGCAGCCGCGGUAAUACGGAAGGUUCGGGCGUUAUCCGGAUUUAUUGGGUUUAAAGGGAGCGUAGGCCGUUUGGUAAGCGUGUUGUGAAAUGUAGGAGCUCAACUUCUAGAUUGCAGCGCGAACUGUCAGACUUGAGUGCGCACAACGUAGGCGGAAUUCAUGGUGUAGCGGUGAAAUGCUUAGGUAUCAUGAAGAACUCCGAUUGCGAAGGCAGCUUACGGGGGCGCAACUGACGCUGAAGCUCGAAGGUGCGGGUAUCGAACAGG
rnacentral:rRNA from 1 species